CCUACGGUGGGCAGCAGUGGGGAAUAUUGGACAAUGGGCGAAAGCCUGAUCCAGCCAUGCCGCGUGUGUGAAGAAGGCCUUCGGGUUGUAAAGCACUUUCAGUGGGGAAGAAAGCCUUGGGGCUAAUACCCUCGAGGAAGGACAUCACCCACAGAAGAAGCACCGGCUAACUCCGUGCCAGCAGCCGCGGUAAUACGGAGGGUGCGCGCGUUAAUCGGAAUUACUGGGCGUAAAGCGCGCGUAGGCGGUCUGAUAAGCCGGUUGUGAAAGCCCCGGGCUCAACCUGGGAACGGCAUCCGGAACUGUCAGGCUAGAGUGCAGGAGAGGAAGGUAGAAUUCCCGGUGUAGCGGUGAAAUGCGUAGAGAUCGGGAGGAAUACCAGUGGCGAAGGCGGCCUUCUGGACUGACACUGACGCUGCGGUGCGAAAGCGUGGGUAGCAAACAGGAUUAGAUACCCUUGUAGUC
rnacentral:rRNA from 1 species